CUUGGCCUACGGGGGGCAGCAGUGAGGAAUAUUGGUCAAUGGCCGGAAGGCUGAACCAGCCGAGCCGCGUGAAGGACGAAGGUGCCAAGCAUUGUAAACUUCUUUUGUCAAGGGACAAAAUCAGGCUCGAGAGCCUGACCGAGGGUACUUGAAGAAAAAGCAUCGGCUAACUCCGUGCCAGCAGCCGCGGUAAUACGGAGGAUGCGAGCGUUAUCCGGAUUUACUGGGUGUAAAGGGAGCGUAGACGGCGAAGCAAGUCUGAAGUGAAAACCCAGGGC
rnacentral:rRNA from 1 species